rnacentral:rRNA from 1 species
AGACGGGUGCGUAACACGUGGGUGACCUGCCCUCAAGUGGGGAACAACUCCGCUAACGCGGAGCUAAUACCGCAUACGUUCGCUCUUUCGGUAGGGCGAGUAAAGCAGUAAUGCGCUUGGGGAUGGGCCUGCGGCGGAUUAGCUAGUUGGUGGGGUAACGGGCUACCAAGGCGAUGAUCCGUAGGGGGCGUGAGAGCGUGGACCCCCACACUGGCACUGAGACACGGGCCAGACUCCUACGGGAGGCAGCAGUGAG